UGAAGCUUGGGUGCAACACACAGAUGUGAACAGAGAGAAAUCUGUCACUGAAAUAUGAGUCCAUGCUGAUAACCCAGAUGGCCUCUUCAGAAUUCUAUCACCUUCAUUCCAGGGAUUCAGAAUAUAAUGCUCGGGCAUGGUUUGCGCACUGUAACUUGAAAUACCAUCUCUAGAUAUCUCAAACAGAUAAAUCCUUGGCUUCUUGUGUCAAAAUUUGCGCUGCAUGCUAGCAGUUGCAUUCGCAACUUCACAACCAUCUUACAUAAGUACAUAUUGUUCUGUAUUUGUAUUUUGCGGCUUGACAACUGUUGGUGUUGGUUGUGAACAAAAUUAAGUGCAUGCUUCAUUCAAUAGGAGAUUAGGGUACAGAGCCACUGCAAUAGUUGGUUCACCACUUUAUUAUAUAGCAAUUACACAUCGUCCACUGCCAAGUAAUAGAUUCAAGUAUGAUAUAUUAUAAUUUUGAUUAUAAUAUAUCCAAGAGCUUGUAUUGCA